GCAUGCCUGCAGGUGGAAAGGUGGCCCGGGCAUCACUGCAGCAUCCCUGUGAGAGCACUGACGGGUGAUCCAUUUUUGGGAAAACCUGCCUUCUUUUCCAAUUAUUAAUCUGUUUGCUGUGUGAGGAAACAAGGUUGUACCCCUGCAAUGCAAUUCUCAGUAUGUGCUGUGAAAAGGAGAAUGGAGAUAAUUCUCAUAACUUGUUCCAGUUAAGUUCUCAAUUCAUUAAAUCAAUACUAGCCAAUGAUUACCAGGAGAUAUGUGUUCUGUGAGCCUUUUGCCUGCAGUGUUUCGGAACCCUGCCAGACCCAACCAGCUUCUGUACCCACAUGUGCUCCUGCAUCCCAUGUUAUGCUUUUGCUUCUCUCUACACAGGGCUGGCACUAGCUCCACUGCCUGUACCCAGCUGCCGGCACCCAACACUCAGGGUUGCUGCCAAAGUUGGGGAGGAGGCAGAGGGAUCAGAAUGUUUUUGAGAUGAUCACGGAAUCACAGUUUGGUUGGGUUGGAAGGGAUCUUCAAAGCUCAUCUAGUCCAAUCCCCCCUGCAAUGAGCAGGGACAUCUUCAGCUAGAUCAGGUUGCCCAGAACCCCAUCCAGCCUGGCCUGGAAUGUCUCCGAGAACGGGGAAUUCACCACCUCUCUGGGCAACCUGUGCCAGGAUUCUACCACCCUCAUUGUAAACAAUUUCUUCCUCACAUCUCCAGGGAUAUGAAAUCUCUACAUAAAGCGAUGCACUCCGACUGCACAGUGGCAGCUCUUCCUCACUGCUGUUGUCGGACUCUCUGGCAGGACAGCUGGGAAUGGCUGGGCUCCAUAGAAAAGCAUUUCUGGGUCAUGUUUGAGAGGAGGGCUUGAACAGCAGCAGUGGUGAAACUCUGCAGGUGAGUGAAAAUAAUAAGAAAAUGUGUGAAAGGAGCAUAGAGGUGAACAAAGUCUGAGAAAAUCAGCCAAACAUCUGAGCUGCUCUUAUACACAUGGCUGAGAUAUCAGAAUUAAAUGCAAAGGAGUUAAAGACUUUCCACAUAACAAAAAGUACAACUCAAGAAUUACUAAGUGCUUCUGGAAGAAAUUCUAGCACUAGGAUCUUGGCAUUGUAAAGGAUAACUUGUUCCACGUAGGAUACAUGAGAAGAAAGGUCUGUGCACUCUCUGAAGUUCAGCAUGAGGUGAAAUGCUCAUUAAUGGAUGUCUGUGGUUGGAGAACGAAGGGUAAAGGAGCAUGGAGCAUGGGAUGCUGGGUGAUCCUGCAGUUAGGAGAAGGAGCUGGAAGAAGUCUACUUAGGGAAAUAACAGAGCCAUCUUUAAUACUAGGUGACGUUAUUGGUCUAAUUGCUGGAAAAGUGUACAAAUCAUCAAGAGUUCAAAUAUACAACUUGGUGACUGAUUUAUGUCUGCACAUGGUGGGGAGUGGGGUCACAAUUGCUUCUGACUAGAGCAGGGGGAAAAUGUUAAAAUCAAAAAUGGCAUUGGGUGAACGCAAAAAUAAGUGACAUCACAUUUUUAAGAAAAGGAGGAAGAGCAGCAGAAUAAGGAAAAUGGACUUCAAAAAGGCAAAAUUUGACAUACCAAAAUAACAAGGACUUGUGCAGAAACAAGCUGAUAGAUGGUGUGCAGGAGAGCUGGCUGUCACUAGCAGAGGCUGUUUAAAGGCAUGGCAGAGAGACCCAAUGCAGAGGAUAGCAAAGAUCUGAUACAGCUGCCUUAAGAAUGCUGAGAACAUGAAAGAGUGGAAAAACUUAAAAAAUGGAAACAUGACAGAUGAUUGAGGAGCAGCCCCAAAGGGGUGAGUAGAGUUGUUAGAAAGGUCAAAGUGACAGUUACAGCAAACAAGGGAAAUGAGAGAAGAUAAAAAUAUAGGGGAAGAAACAGAGUGAAACUACAGGUAAGGUAUUUCUCGGAAAAAUCAAAAAUGGACUCAGAGAUGACUGCCUACUUUGUAUCAGGCAUCACUGAGUUCAGUGGUUAAUGCAAUGGAUUUUAACUUGGGGCUAGGAUUGCAGUCUAGAAUAAAGCAAGAACACCACAAAUAUUAAGAUAAAUUUGAUUCCAUGAUGAAAUUCAUCCUAAAGCACUAAAGGAAUUGGCUAAGCAAUACUUGAACCAUCAUCGAUACAGCUUCAGGAAACUGAAGAGACAAGGGAGGUCUUAGAAGAUGGGAAAUGGCAAAUCUAACUUUAACAAAAGGAGAGAACCUCAACUACCAGAAUGAAGGUGCUUCUCUGAAACCCAGAAAGAGUGUAGGACAAACGAUUAACCAAUUUGCAAAGAAAGCACAUCUCAACAUAGGAUGAAACAGAGUUGUAGGCAUGGAAGUGAACUACUCUGUUCUACUAGUAAUACCAUGCCUCACUUUUUAAAAGCAGAUAAGGUAAAAGUGUGAAGGGUGGCCCAGUUAUGCUUCAUCCUGCCUCUCUGAGCUCUUUUGAAUUCCCUUCCUCUUCCACAUCUCUGCAGUUGCAUUAAUUGGAUUUCAUGAUUUAGCUGCUGGUGUUUUGAUUUUAGUAUGUGACUUUAAAAUAGAAUAAUAUGAUUGCAAGUCACUGAGUGAAAGAAAUUCACUUGUUGGGAUGCCUGGGCCAGCACACUGUGUGAGAACGGAGACCAGUUACCCUGAUGAGGCGAAUCUGAGUGAUGUUUGAUGGGAGAAAGCAAAACCUUGAGGUGAGAAGCACACUGAUAGCCAUGGAAAGCAACAGAAAAGGCAGGUAAAUUUACUGUCUCUGUGCCAGAGCCUCAGAUUACUAUCAUUCAUUUAGGCGUCUCACACAAGAGGCAGCAAAGUUACAAGUUAAGGAAACAACACCCAUACUGUAUUUAUCAGAUUUGUGGCUCAGAUCCCUCUGGGUCUGUGCUUAGUUUAUGACUGCUGCACCCCCUGGAGCUAGCUUUACUGCUCAUGUAAACAGUACUUCUUGUCAGAAGGAAAGUAAGUGCUGUGCAGGAAGGAGAUAAAAGCAGCUGAGAAUCUAAAAGAGACAUUUUAAACCUUGUAUUUAUUAAAUUAACCCUUAAAUGUUUGCCAUCCAGUAAUUUCAAAUGGAUUCAGGCUCCCAUUUCUGCUACAGAGGACUUGCAUUUCCUAGUGUGUUUUAGGGAACUGGUGGGUUACACUCAAAGAACAAGUUAAAAUGCUUCGAACUGCACAAACAAAUAUAUGACAGACCCCUCCCUGCAAAGAUUCUUAUAAUUUAAUUGAUUAUGUGACAGUAUAACAGGAUAAUUCUUCACAGGUUUAAAAACAGGCAACAGUGUUUAUCAAAGGCAUUGCUUAUUUUGCUUUCCUUUACAUGUAUCUGUAUGGUAUCACAGAGUAUAAUGUUGCCAGAUCCUGAGAGUUUUGUCACAAGUCUCAUAUGACAUUUCUUAUUUUCUUAAGCUGUAAAUGGUAGAGUUGGAUGAACAGGUGAAAAUCACAGCUUCUAUUUAAAAGUGUCUCACACUUAUAUUUGAAGGGAGAACUUUCAGUCCUGAAGUGUCAAACAACAGAAGAAACACACAAGUUUCUUAUGUUUCUUUGACGCUAAUGACAUCAAGGCCAGGUAGGACAGAGCCUUGGGUGACAUGGUCUAGUGGAAGAUGUCCCUGCCCACGGCAAGGGUUUGGAACUGGAUGACCUUAAGGUCCUUUCCAACCCAAACCAUUCUGUGCUUCUAUGACAUGGUUUGGGGGAGGCCUGACUCAUGAUUCACCAAUACUUGAAGCUGUGAGAUGUUUAUAUGAUCUUGACACAUCUUCUAUGGUUGAAAGAAAGACUACAUUUUGAUCCGGAUAGAACAAUAAAGCUUGGGAUGGACACCAGAGUACCUGCCGUAGAGUUAACAUUGCUUUCAUGAAGGCUUACACACGGAUUUUUAGCCAUGCAAGCCUUCUCCUGGACACCUGCCCCUCGGGUAUUAUCCUGAAAGUCUAAAAAUGUUUUCCUCAGCAUGUUCUGCUGCUGUCAGUCUAAGUUCUGGUUAGACUGCAACUGAUGGAACAUGAUAACCUGCAGGAGAUAGCCAACACUAUCUGAGGUAGCACGGAAUGGGAAGGCAGAAAUCGCUGAUCACUCCAGACGUUUGCUGUAUGAAUGGGAUAUAAAUGACUGAUGGUUUGGGAUGGAGAAGAGGCAGAGAUCUCCAACAUUUUUUCUUCCAAAACAUCUCAAUCAUUAGUGAUGCCUUGGAAGCGGAGUAACUCACUGAAUCUGCUAUAGUAGAUUACUGUCAGAUGUAAAUGGCUUUUGCAACUAUUCAUUUAUUUUAAACAAUGUCAAGCAGCACAACUUUUUAAGAACUUUAAUUAAAUGGCAGAUGCAAUUAAUUUUUCUGCUUGGAAGGACCAAGAAGAAAACUUGGUUGGAUGCCAGCUGUUAGCUUUUGGGAUGACUUACAGUUGCAUCCAUUUAUAACAUUGAUAGCUCAGCAAGAAGCUGUUAAACUGUGAUACAUAUUUUAUUUUGUUGAGGGAUUUCUUAAGUGUUCUGUGGAAGUUUCAGGAAGAGCUACAUAAAUGCUACCUGAUGGCAUCUAAUAUAGUUUUUGGCUGCAGAAUUUACACUGUAUUUACCAUAGUGCAGUAGUUUUUGUGCUCAGAAAAGACAUCUGAGGAAAGAGUAGAAACCAACGUCACAAUGAGUACCUUGCAGGGGGAGGACCUCCAGACAGACCUGAGAACUGCAUGUUCCUCUGGCUUGCUUCAGAAAGGUGGCUACACUCACUGGCUGUGCCUAUAGGACUUCAGUACAUUCAGUUACUGUUGAUAAGUUUAAGAACUUUUUUGGGGUUGGGAGUAGGGUAGGCUAACUUAUGGAUGAGAAGUCCAGAAAACCUACUGGUACAUGCUUCAGAUACCCUUGGGACUUUUUUCACCAAGUCAGACCACAGGCAAGAGCUGUAAAACAACCUACAACGGGUCAAGCCAGGUUUCUCUGUGGCAUGUUAAUAAACUCUUGCUGUGGAGUGGAACAGUACCUUUCAGAUUUUUGAAAGUUACACCUCAUAAUACAUGACUGUAAAAUCUGAUCAAGCCCUGUUCUCCUAAAAGUGAUCCAAGAAACCUCAUUUGUUUCUCCUUUCAGUAACAUGAGCAGGGGUUCCUUUCUACUUAUUUUUUAACAACUAUUAUGAAGAGACGAUUGACAGAGCCAGUGUUGAAAGGCUCGUGUAUAAUUAAUCCACAACCAUAGCCAUUUCUAUUGUCACAGCACCCAGAACCUAUCAGCUGGUGGAAACAGUGUACAGUCUCCAGCAGCCUCCACAUAAAGAUGUUUCACAAGUCACUCUCCAUUCCUAGCUAAUGCUCAUGCAGUGAUGGAAAUACAAAACUCCUCUGGCACAGCAGUGAGGCAGUGAAAGUUCAUCUGGUGUAAUGCAGAGCAGAAGCAGCUUGUUCCCCAGAUCCCUCAUGCUAUACUUACAUGUGUGUUCAGGCUGCUCUUGUUUUCAAGGUCAAGGUUAAAUGGGAAUACUCACAGUAGUGUUUCCCACAGGAGGCAUGUUGCAUCUAUGACCCCAAGUCUGCAGUGGCCUCUUGGAUUCAUGCUCAGAUGCUGGCCUUGGAUUCAUGAAGCCCAUGAGUUGUAUGCUGGCUGCACACCAUCCUUUCUGUCCUUCCUGGCACAUGGUGGUCAGGUGAGGCACUGAACUGGCAGGGAGGUGGCUUCCAUGCGAGGACACUGUAGACAAAGUGGCUUUGUUCUCUCCCUGGAGCUCUGUGAAAUGUCAGUUUGCCAAAUCUGGCAGCUGUUCUUUUGCAGACCUGUUUUAACAGGAGGAUGCUCAAAUUACUUCAUUUGCAUCCUGCCUUCAAAGAAUUUCAAUGUUUUGGAGUUUUUUAGGGGAAAAAAAAAAAUAGUUCAGUAUUUUUUCUCUUGUGUAUAAUUUGAUUUGUACUUCACAAGGAAUCAGAUAUUAAGCUCAGUGUGGUUUUGAACAUGUAUGUGAGGCUGGAUUUUCAUUAUCCUAACACAAUAGCUUCUGUAAUAUUUAUCAUGAUGACUUAUGAUAAGUAUACAAGGGAUUACUCUAUAACCUGAAGUUUCCAUUGUGCCAGGAACAAGAGGUACUCAAUUUUUCCAUAAUUUGCAUCACGGUCUUGUUUUACUAGUGCUACCAAAAUUUCCAAGGAUGGGGUGGCAGACAGCAGAAUCAGGGUGUGUGUAAUUCAGUCAUGGAAAAAAUACAAGGGAUUUUCAGACCUGAGGAUGCUCCAAGCUAUGAUUUUGCCCAAGUCAGUUCUAUUCAUAUCUAAUAGUUUGGCUUAGCUGGUCAGGAAUAAAAAGCUGAGAACUUGCGGCACA